UACGAAGGGGGCUAGCGUUGCUCGGAAUUACUGGGCGUAAAGCGUGCGCAGGCGGUCUGUUAAGACCGAUGUGAAAUCCCCGGGCUUAACCUGGGAACUGCAUUGGUGACUGGCAGGCUUUGAGUGUGGCAGAGGGAGGUAGAAUUCCACGUGUAGCAGUGAAAUGCGUAGAGAUGUGGAGGAAUACCGAUGCGGAAGGCAGCCUCCUGGGCCAACACUGACGCUCAUGCACGAAAGCGUGGGGAGCAAACAGG
rnacentral:rRNA from 1 species